rnacentral:tRNA from 1 species
GCGGGGGUUCCCGAGUCUGGCCUAAGGGGGCGGACUCAAGAUCCGCUGCCGCAGGGCUUCGUGGGUUCAAAUCCCACCCCCCGCA